CUACCGGGGUAUCUAAUCCUGUUUGCUCCCCACGCUUUCGCACCUCAGCGUCAGUACCGAGCCAGUGAGCCGCCUUCGCCACCGGUGUUCUUCCUAAUAUCUACGAAUUUCACCUCUACACUAGGAAUUCCACUCACCUCUCUCGGACUCGAGACGUGCUGUAUCAAGGGCAGUUCCGAAGUUGAGCUCCGGGAUUUCACCCCUGACUGACACAUCCGCCUACGUGCGCUUUACGCCCAGUGAUUCCGAACAACGCUAGCUCCCUUCGUAUUACCGCGGCUGCUGGCAC
rnacentral:rRNA from 1 species